GAGUUUGAUCUUGGCUCAGAUUGAACGCUGGCGGCAGGCCUAACACAUGCAAGUCGAGCGGAUGACGGGAGCUUGCUCCUUGAUUCAGCGGCGGACGGGUGAGUAAUGCCUAGGAAUCUGCCUGGUAGUGGGGGACAACGUUUCGAAAGGAACGCUAAUACCGCAUACGUCCUACGGGAGAAAGCAGGGGACCUUCGGGCCUUGCGCUAUCAGAUGAGCCUAGGUCGGAUUAGCUAGUUGGUGGGGUAAUGGCUCACCAAGGCGACGAUCCGUAACUGGUCUGAGAGGAUGAUCAGUCACACUGGAACUGAGACACGGUCCAGACUCCUACGGGAGGCAGCAGUGGGGAAUAUUGGACAAUGGGCGAAAGCCUGAUCCAGCCAUGCCGCGUGUGUGAAGAAGGUCUUCGGAUUGUAAAGCACUUUAAGUUGGGAGGAAGGGCAGUAAGUUAAUACCUUGCUGUUUUGACGUUACCGACAGAAUAAGCA
rnacentral:rRNA from 2 species